UACGGAGGAUGCGAGCGUUAUCCGGAUUUAUUGGGUUUAAAGGGUGCGUAGGCGGGCAUUUAAGCCGGCGGCCAAAUGUCGGGGCUCAACCCCGGCCUGCCGUCGGAACUGGGUGCCUUGAGUGGGCGAGAAGUAUGCGGAAUGCGUGGUGUAGCGGUGAAAUGCAUAGAUAUCACGCAGAACCCCGAUUGCGAAGGCAGCAUACCGGCGCCCUACUGACGCUGAGGCACGAAAGUGCGGGUAUCGAACAGG
rnacentral:rRNA from 1 species